CCCAGACAGCCAGGAUGUUGGCUUAGAAGCAGCCAUCAUUUAAAGAAAGCGUAAUAGCUCACUGGUCGAGUCGGCCUGCGCGGAAGAUGUAACGGGGCUAAACCAUGCACCGAAGCUGCGGCAGCGACACUAUGUGUUGUUGGGUAGGGGAGCGUUCUGUAAGCCUGUGAAGGUGUGUCGUGAGGCAUGCUGGAGGUAUCAGAAGUGCGAAUGCUGACAUAAGUAACGAUA
rnacentral:rRNA from 1 species